GGAGAGAUGGCCGAGCGGUUUAAGGCACCGGUCUUGAAAACCGGCGUAGUAGCGAUACUACCGUGGGUUCGAAUCCCACUCUCUCCGCCA
rnacentral:tRNA from 1 species